CAGCAGCAGCCGCGGUAAUACGGAGGGUGCAAGCGUUAAUCGGAAUUACUGGGCGUAAAGCGCACGCAGGCGGUUUGUUAAGUCAGAUGUGAAAUCCCCGAGCUUAACUUGGGAACUGCAUUUGAAACUGGCAAGCUAGAGUCUUGUAGAGGGGGGUAGAAUUCCAGGUGUAGCGGUGAAAUGCGUAGAGAUCUGGAGGAAUACCGGUGGCGAAGACGGCCCCCUGGACAAAGACUGACGCUCAGGUGCGAAAGCGUGGGGAGCGGACAGGAUUAGAUACCCCAGUAGUCCCUGUCUCUUAUAC
rnacentral:rRNA from 1 species